UACGUAGGGUGCAAGCGUUAAUCGGAAUUACUGGGCGUAAAGCGUGCGCAGGCGGCUUUGCAAGACAGAUCGUGAAAAUCCCGGGCUUAACCUGGGAACUGCUUGUGACUGCAUCGGCUGGAGUGCGGCAGAGGGGGAUGGAAUUCCGCGUGUAAGCAGUGAAAUGCGUAGAUAUGCGGAGGAACACCGAUGGCGAAGGCAA
rnacentral:rRNA from 1 species